GCCAUUUCAGUGGUCUCCAGUCCAGUGAUGGACUCAGAAUUGGGCCCCACCAAAGGGGAAGUAGCAGAUAUAGAGGAACCAGUUGUCUCUUUUGCCAUACUGGUGAAAUGAAGAACCUUUCCACCUUCCAGCAUAGAAAGACACGUCAAAGUAUUGCUUUCAGGAAUCAGGACAGCUGUAUUCAUCCACCUAGCACCUUAAAUGGACACCUCCUCUCACCUGCAGAACACUGUAACAGUGGACAGUGUUAUAAUCAUUUUGUAAUUAUGAAUUGUCCCAUAGAAUAAACCAAUGGCAUCUCA